GACGAACGCUGGCGGCGUGCUUAACACAUGCAAGUCGAACGGAAAGGCCCUGCUUUUGUGGGGUGCUCGAGUGGCGAACGGGUGAGUAACACGUGAGUAACCUGCCCUUGACUUUGGGAUAACUUCAGGAAACUGGGGCUAAUACCGGAUAGGAGCUCCUGCUGCAUGGUGGGGGUUGGAAAGUUUCGGCGGUCGGGGAUGGACUCGCGGCUUAUCAGCUUGUUGGUGGGGUAGUGGCUUACCAAGGCUUUGACGGGUAGCCGGCCUGAGAGGGUGACCGGCCACAUUGGGACUGAGAUACGGCCCAGACUACUACGGGAGGCAGCAGUGGGGAAUAUUGCACAAUGGGCGGAAGCCUGAUGCAGCAACGCCGCGUGCGGGAUGACGGCCUUCGGGUUGUAAACCGCUUUCGCCUGUGACGAAGCGUGAGUGACGGUAAUGGGUAAAGAAGCACCGGCUAACUACGUG
rnacentral:rRNA from 1 species